rnacentral:rRNA from 1 species
GAGACAGCAGCAGCCGCGGGAAUACGAAGGGGGAUAGCGUUGCUCGGAAUCACUGGGCGUAAAGGGUGCGUAGGCGGGUCUUUAAGUCAGGGGUGAAAUCCUGGAGCUCAACUCCAGAACUGCCUUUGAUACUGAAGAUCUUGAGUUCGGGAGAGGUGAGUGGAACUGCGAGUGUAGAGGUGAAAUUCGUAGAUAUUCGCAAGAACACCAGUGGCGAAGGCGGCUCACUGGCCCGAUACUGACGCUGAGGCACGAAAGCGUGGGGAGCAAACAGGAUUAGAUACCCCUGUAGUCCCUGUCUCUUAUAC